GACGUAGGAGGCGAGCGUUGUCCGGAUUCAUUGGGCGUAAAGAGCGCGCAGGCGGCUUGGUAAGUCGGAUGUGAAAUCCCGAGGCUCAACCUCGGGUCUGCAUCCGAUACUGCCCGGCUAGAGGUAGGUAGGGGAGAUCGGAAUUCCUGGUGUAGCGGUGAAAUGCGCAGAUAUCAGGAGGAACACCGGUGGCGAAGGCGGAUCUCUGGGCCGGUACUGACGCUGAGGAGCGAAAGCGUGGGGAGCAAACAGG
rnacentral:rRNA from 1 species